GGCAGCAUAGCUCAGCUGGCUAGAGCGCACGAUUCAUACUCGUGAGGUCACUGGUUCGAUCCCAGUUGCUGCUACCA
rnacentral:tRNA from 1 species